rnacentral:sRNA from 1 species
UGGUCUGCCUCAGGGGCUGAAGUCAUCUUUCUAUGCACCGAGUGGGAACAGCAUAGGGAGCGAUAGAAGGUGAUUUUCUUCAAACCACUCCCACAAACUGGCUGGAGCCAAGAAAAGGGCCCACACCUUGCAGGAGGGAAGAGGACGCACUACGCAGUCUCUGAUGCCCAGUUCACCUUUGGUUUCA